rnacentral:rRNA from 1 species
AUCUUGACCUCAGAUCAGGCAAGGCUACCCGCUGAAUUUAAGCAUAUUAAUAAGCGGAGGAAAAGAAACUAACAAGGAUUCCCUCAGUAACAGCGAGUGAAGCGGGAACAGCUCAAAUUUGAAAUCUCCGGCGCUUGCGUCGGCGAGUUGUAGUUGCGAGAAGCACUUUCUAGGCGGAUCGGUGGUGCYUWAGUUGCUUGGAACAGUACGUCAUAGAGGGUGACAACCCCG